rnacentral:rRNA from 1 species
AAGCGGCGUACGGGUGAGUAACACGUGGAUAAUCUGCCCUUCGAUGGGGGGACAACAGUCCGAAAGGAUUGCUAAUACCGCAUACGUCGGCGAGCUCUGCGGAGCACGUCGGGAAAGAUGCCCCUCAAAAGGUGUCGUCGAAGGAGGAGUCCGCGUCCCAUCAGCUAGUUGGUAGGGUAACGGCCUACCAAGGCGAAGACGGGUAGCUGGUCUGAGAGGAUGAUCAGCCACACUGGGACUGAGACACGGCCCAGACUCCUACGGGAGGCAGCAGUGGGGAAUAUUGGACAAUGGGCGAAAGCCUGAUCCAGCCAUGCCGCGUGAGUGAUGAAGGCCCUCGGGUCGUAAAGCUCUGUGGAGGGGGAAGAAUCCUUGCAGCAUCAGAUCCUGCAAGUUGACGGUACCCCUUUAGCAAGCACCGGCUAACUCCGUGCCAGCAGCCGCGGUAA